GUGAGGAAUAUUGGUCAAUGGGCGAGAGCCUGAACCAGCCAAGUCGCGUGAAGGAAGAAGGAUCUAUGGUUCGUAAACUUCUUUUGCAGGGGAAUAAAGUGCAGGACGUGUCCUGUUUUGUAUGUACCCUGAGAAUAAGGAUCGGCUAACUCCGUGCCAGCAGCCGCGGUAAUACGGAGGAUCCGAGCGUUAUCCGGAUUUAUUGGGUUUAAAGGGUGCGUAGGUGGUUUGAUAAGUCAGCGGUGAAAGUUUGCAGCUUAACUGUAAAAAUGCCGUUGAAACUGUCGGACUUGAGUGUAAAUGAGGUAGGCGGAAUGCGUGGUGUAGCGGUGAAAUGCAUAGAUAUCACGCAGAACUCCGAUUGCGAAGGCAGCUUACUAAGCUACAACUGACACUGAAGCACGAAAGCGUGGGGAUCAAACAGGAUUAGAUACCCUAGUAGUCC
rnacentral:rRNA from 1 species